UACGUAGGGGGCAAGCGUUGUCCGGAAUCAUUGGGCGUAAAGCGCGUGUAGGCGGACUGGAAGGUCUGGUGUGAAAGCCCGGGGCUCAACCCCGGAGGGUCACUGGAAACCGACAGCCUUGAGUCCGGAAGAGGAGAGUGGAAUUCCUGGUGUAGCGGUGGAAUGCGCAGAUAUCAGGAGGAACACCUAUGGCGAAGGCAGCUCUCUGGUACGUGACUGACGCUGAGACGCGAAAGCGUGGGAGCGAACAGG
rnacentral:rRNA from 1 species